UAAAAAUAAACAGAAGAGAGCAGAAGUUCAGAAGGAGCCAAAGACAAGCAGAGCAGUUGAAGCUACCUGGUGAAAUCUGAAUUACGCCAAAAAACCUGCCAAACAAUGACAUCUUAGUGGCUUCAUGUGCGCCCACUCAGCUGUCGGGGUUUCACAUCCUCUGUCAACCUCAGACCUGCAGCCCCGACAGAAUAGCCUGCCUCCUGCCAGGGGCCUCAAAAGUCAGGUCCCAUCCUGUGGCUCGAGAAUUAGCAAGAGGCCAGGGCCGGAAGGACACCGCUGAGUUCAACCGACCCCUCCGUUUGGUAGCUGAGGAGAGGCAAGUCACAGACCGUUUAAGUGACUUGUCCUGAGUCACACAGCUAGUUAGUGUCAGAGGAUCAACAUGCCCAGUUCCUUCAUAUUGUGGUGAAGGAGACAAUCCUAGUCACAAAUUUAUUAUUUAUUUAUUAGCAAACCAGGCGUAAUAAACCCUGUUUGCUCGUAUAGUUUGGAUUGUCUCCCUAGGUUAUUAUUAAUUAAUCACCGCAGUUUUUGAAGAGCUGAGCUAGGUCAAGCCAGGACUCUGACCCCCAGGAAAAGAGCCUUUCAGAAAAAAUCUCCGGUUAAUCUUUUACUGUGGGACUUUCUCACUGAAGACAGAAGGUUGGACUCCUGCUUUGGAUCCUGAUUUCUUUCAAGCUCAGAUGAGAAAACUGAGGCACAGAGGCUGAGACUUGCCCAGGGUCACACACACAGUGCUGCAUGUGCAUGGAUGAGGAGGAAUUCACCUUGUCUGCUUUCCUGCCCCCUCCCCAUCCUUGGUUAUUUAGAAGAGGAGGAGGAGGAGGAGGAGGAGGAGGGAAGCUCAUCAUGGAAGGCAAGCCAAGCCAUCAGGAGAAUGCUACAUAGGAAAGCUCAGGACCCAUACAGGCAUGUGACUGCAUUACCCCUUGUAAGGGUAAUAGUGGCAAUCUCCCAAUGCUUUCCCAGAAAGUGGAGCACUCCAUAUGGUGCUGAGUUCUAGAUUCACUUGGAUGUAUAUGAAAAUCGCUUAUCCCCACUGAGCCUCAAUGUUCUUACCAAUAAAAUGGCGACAGUGAUACUCACAUUAGACUGUGAACUCCUUGAGAGCAGGGAUUGUUUUUGGCCUUUCUUUGUGUCCCCAGUGCUUGGCAUAAUCGCUUAUCCCCACUGAGCCUCAGUGUUCUUACCAAUAAAAUGGCGACAGUGAUACUCACAUUAGACUGUGAACUCCUUGAGAGCAGGGAUUGUUUUUUGCCUUUCUUU